rnacentral:rRNA from 1 species
AUGGCCUACUUCGAUGAGAAAGCGAAGGAAGAUCCAGAUUUCUUCUACAGGAUAAGGUUGGACGAUGAGGACCGUGUCAGGAACAUGUAUUGGGUGGAUGGUGCUGCAAGAAGAGCCUACAAACAUUUCCGAGAUUGCAUUUCAUUCGACGCGGCGUAUCUGACUAAUAUGUACAAGAUGCCAUGCGCUCCGUUCAUAGGAAUAAAUAACCACAAUCAGUCGUUGCAGUUCGGAUGCGGCCUCGUUCGAAACGAAGACACAGAUGGGUACGUUUGGCUGUUCAAGACCUUCUUGGAGUGCAUGGAUGGACUUGCUCCGAUGAACAUAAUAACAGACCAGGAUUUCAGCAUGCGUGCAGGCAUAGAGGAGGUAUUUCCGUUGGCAGUGCACAGGCACUGCAGAUGGCAUAUCAUUGUGAACUGCCGCCUCAGCCGCUUCUGUCGUGGACACAGGAGUGUCACCAUGCACGUGCUUGGAAUCAGUGUCAGAUGUGCGGGAAUCUUCCUUGCUUAG